UACGUAGGGGGCGAGCGUUAUCCGGAUUCGUUGGGCGUAAAGCGCGCGUAGGCGGCCGCCUAAGCGGAACCUCUAACCCCGGGGCUCAACCUCGGGCCGGGUUCCGGACUGGGCGGCUCGGGUGCGGUAGAGGAGAGCGGAAUUCCCGGUGUAGCGGUGGAAUGCGCAGAUAUCGGGAAGAACACCGAUGGCGAAGGCAGCUCUCUGGGCCGUCACUGACGCUGAGGCGCGAAAGCUGGGGGAGCGAACAGG
rnacentral:rRNA from 1 species